AGAAAAAGAAAAAAGAGAUCAAAAUACGCGAUCCCUAGCUUACCUCUUUUGCCCAAUUAUCUUUCUUCACACCCAGCUUGCUAGAAUCUCGAAGCAAAUCCAAGGCACCAAUAUUCCCAUUGUUAGGCGAAGGAAGCUCGCUGGCCUCCUCUUCCUUCCUCUAUAUGCUUCUUUUGUGUGUCUGGGUAUAAAGACAUGUGAUAAGCCUUUGGAAAGAAACACAACCUUGCUAGUCCCUAGCUUGAAGUGGAAAGACCACUUGUAUGAGAUUAUGCAGGAGACAAUUAUGUUCACUGCCUAAUUCGAUCUUAAACUAAUAGAACAUUAGUUGAACUGAUAGAACAUUAGUUCAACAUUAAUGAGACCCACUUCUAAUUACUUGCUCAUAGUUUUCUCUCAGCUUAUUUAUUUUAUAGUGCAUCAUUGCUACUUUUAAUCCAUGAUAAUUAGUUGGAGGUUGGUCAUUUCUUUCUUCUUGUGAAUUUGUGUAUGGUUCAAAUCUAAAUUUUGUCUGUAGAAUAAUGCAGGGGAGAGCAUACACAAAGAAUAUAUUUGGUAUUCAGACAGUGUAAGCCUUAGAAGGAUCAGUUUCGUAACUGAGAACUUUGAGAGGAUGAGUCCUUGAGUCUGAGCAUGAUCUAUGUUGUUCUAUUUGUUGGUCAUUUGAAAUUCUUAUACAUUAAUAUUAGGUAUACAUAUGUGCCUGCGUGCAGUUGACUAUGUUUCCAUAAUUCUGCCAUGACCUAAGCUCUCCAGUCUGGUUUAUUUCCGACCUCUUCUUGCCAUUUUUACUCUAGCUUAAAUGUCAACCCUGCAAAGCUUUAUGUGUGUAUGCAUGUAUUUUUUUUUUUCCCUGUUGUUUUUCCAUGUGCUUGAGUGUUAUCUAUUGUGAUUGUAGAUGAACAUGUGCCAAGUGAGCUGAAGAAAGUUUAUGUGCAAGCUUUAAUGGUUGAGAAGCUUACCCAAGCUGAGUUUGCUCAAGAAACAUUCUGCAUAGAUAGACAAAGCAGAAAGAGAAACCGAGUUGUCAGUUCGCUCGGACAAGUUAAAAAUAAUGGAAAGAGAUGAAAAAGAAAGCUCUGGAAUGGAAGAGGUUGGCAAUGGAAUCAGGAAGUCAGCCCAUGAUUAUGAUGCAUCAUCUGGAAGAGGCCCAAUAUUUGAGUUUUUCUCUGGGAAUGAUAACGGUGAUCGACAUGCCGUUUUGGAUGCAAAUAGUUCUGGAUUUCCAGAUUUCUUUCAACAUUUCAGGCCUUUCCCCGAUGCGUGACCCCCUGUGUCACACCGCGGUGACAACUCAGCAAACCUUCUUAUAUAUCUGGCUGCCCUUUCUGUUUCUUUACAUUCAGAUGUACCGAUUUCAGUCUUUGCAGGUAAUCAUGUAAAAAAUCAUGAUUGAAUUCAUUGUUAGUAAUGGGCCCGAAUCAUGAUUUGUUCCAACUGUUUGCCGAUAAAAUCUGGAAUGUCAUCUGUGGGCGUUUCUAUGUCAACUAAAACAGGAGAACUUGGACUGCAUAACAAUUUAUAAUGCCAUUCCGUGCCUUUACCUGUUGUGGAAAUAGAGGUCAAUUAGCAUAGCUCAGCAAAUGAGGGAACUGGAUUGAGAAGUAGUUGGGGAAUCCUCUGAAGAUUCUGUACCUUGUGGACACACUACUGUUCAAGUAACAAUACAAUAUGGAUGUGUGGUUCUGGGAUAAUUUAUGUUUAAGAAACUGGUUUUCCUGGAUGUGUUAAUAGCCAUUCUACUUCAGAUAUUUUGUUUCAGCCAAAGAACUUGCCGAAACUUGUGAAGGAGAAAUAAUCUGAGCGGCAUUUUGGAGUUGUUUGUGUUAAUUUUGGCUUUUCUACUUCGUGGAAGACUUCCCGAUGUUAAUCUUACCUUGGCAUUUUCAUACAUCUCCCACAGAGUCACAAUUGGUUUGCUUUUACUCAAACAAAAUGGUUGAUUAACAAACUUCUUGUCUGUAAAUUGCUUCCAACUGUAGCUCUAUCAGAGCAGUAAACCAAGAUAUACAGAUCUCAGUCCAAUAUUUA